ensembl:lncRNA
UGGAAAAGUCCCAAAUUCCGCAUUUCCAGGGGAUUUAUUCCCCUGAAGAUGUUCGCACAGCUGCCAGAACAUCUGUUGUUACACAUACUUAUAUACCCAAACGGCACGCACACACAAAGUGUGAACUUUUACCGUGUGAGACUGACACCUCAAGGCUUGCCUUUCCCUAACCCACACAGGAACAGAGGCUAAACGUGUUGAAAGCUGGACCCAUCCCUACAUCACAGGUUUUAUAGCUCUACUGACAUGUGUCGAUCGGAGUGCCAAGAAUUGUGCAGGAAAAUACGAGGAUUAAUAUCAUCAAGAUGAGGGCGGCAGAUUUUUCAGGUAAGCCCCUGAUGCAUUUAAGCAUUAGUGAGACAGCGGUUACAUUUCACUGCCACGUUCUAUGAACUGCAAUGGGACCUGUGGGGUUUGAGCCGUGUUUGUGUAGUUGAUAGGAAGACCACAUACAAGAGACAAAGGCUGGCUUCUCUUCAACCAAAGACGGUGCACCGUGAAUUUCCCUCCUCUGAAUACACACGGAGUUGUGAUGGGGAGUAAACAGAACCCGAUCUGUUCAGAGCCAAAUCAAAUGUACUGUCAUUGGGUCUAGGUAUGGGUGCAGUUCUAC